rnacentral:rRNA from 1 species
AGAGUUUGAUCCUGGCUCAGAACGAACGCUGGCGGCGUGCCUAACACAUGCAAGUCGAACGGAGUUGAGGGGCUUGCUCCUCAAUUUAGUGGCGCACGGGUGAGUAACGCGUAGAUAAUCUGCCUGAUGAUUUGGGAUAACACUUCGAAAGGGGUGCUAAUACCGAAUAAGCCCACGGAGUCCUUGGACUCUGCGGGAAAAGGGGGGGUCCUUAGGGCCUUCCGUCAUCAGAUGAGUCUGCGUACCAUUAGCUAGUUGGUAGGGUAAAGGCCUACCAAGGCGACGAUGGUUAGCUGGUCUGAGAGGAUGAUCAGCCACACUGGAACUGAGACACGGUCCAGACUCCUACGGGAGGCAGCAGUAAGGAAUAUUGGUCAAUGGACGAAAGUCUGAACCAGCCAUGCCGCGUGCAGGAAGAAUGCCCUAUGGGUUGUAAACUGCUUUUGUACGGAAAAAAAUCCUUAAACGUGUUUAAGGUUGAUGGUACCGUAAGAAUAAGGAUCGGCUAACUCCGUGCCAGCAGCCGCGGUAAUACGGAGGAUCCAAGCGUUAUCCGAAUUCACUGGGUUUAAAGGGUGCGUAGGCGGAUUAUUAAGUCAGUGGUGAAAUCCUAUAGCUUAACUAUAGAAUUGCCAUUGAUACUGGUAGUCUGGAGUAUAUUUGAGGUGAGCGGAAUGUGUCAUGUAGCGGUGAAAUGCUUAGAUAUGACGCAGAACUCCAAUUGCGAAGGCAGCUCACUAAACUAUAACUGACGCUGAGGCACGAAAGCGUGGGGAUCAAACAGGAUUAGAUACCCUGGUAGUCC